UCCCAGGUAGCUGAGCUUGUAAAGAAUCUGCCUGCAAUGCAGGGGACCCUGGUUCGAUUCCUGGGUUGGGAA
rfam:Ovis aries breed Texel chromosome 16, whole genome shotgun sequence.